CGAGUUUGAUCCUGGCUCAGGACGAACGCUGGCGGCGUGCCUAAUACAUGCAAGUCGAGCGAAUCUUUAGGAGCUUGCUCCUAUUGGUUAGCGGCGGACGGGUGAGUAACACGUGGGCAACCUGCCUAUAAGACUGGGAUAACACCGGGAAACCGGUGCUAAUACCGGAUAAUCCUUUUCCUCUCAUGAGGGAAAGCUGAAAGACGGUUUACGCUGUCACUUAUAGAUGGGCCCGCGGCGCAUUAGCUAGUUGGUGAGGUAACGGCUCACCAAGGCAACGAUGCGUAGCCGACCUGAGAGGGUGAUCGGCCACACUGGGACUGAGAUACGGCCCAGACUCCUACGGGAGGCAGCAGUGGGGAAUAUUGCACAAUGGGCGCAAGCCUGAUGCAGCGACGCCGCGUGGGGGAUGACGGCCUUCGGGUUGUAAACCUCUUUCACCAUCGGCGAAGCCGUGGGGUUUUCUCUUCGGUGACGGUAGGUGGAGAAGAAGCACCGGCCAACUACGUGCCAGCAGCCGCGGUAAUAAGUUUCCCUGUGUGA
rnacentral:rRNA from 1 species